rnacentral:rRNA from 1 species
CCUACGGUGGGCUGCAGUGGGGAAUAUUGGACAAUGGGCGAAAGCCUGAUCCAGCCAUGCCGCGUGUGUGAAGAAGGCCUUCGGGUUGUAAAGCACUUUCAGUGGGGAAGAAAGCCUUGGGGCUAAUACCCUCGAGGAAGGACAUCACCCACAGAAGAAGCACCGGCUAACUCCGUGCCAGCAGCCGCGGUAAUACGGAGGGUGCGAGCGUUAAUCGGAAUUACUGGGCGUAAAGCGCGCGUAGGCGGUCUGAUAAGCCGGUUGUGAAAGCCCCGGGCUCAACCUGGGAACGGCAUCCGGAACUGUCAGGCUAAAGUGCAGGAGAGGAAGGUAGAAUUCCCGGUGUAGCGGUGAAAUGCGUAGAGAUCGGGAGGAAUACCAGUGGCGAAGGCGGCCUUCUGGACUGACACUGACGCUGAGGUGCGAAAGCGUGGGUAGCAAACAGGAUUAGAUACCCCAGUAGUC